CACCGGGAGCGACAGCAGGAUGAAAGCCAGAUUAAAGGUCUUGCCAGACGAGCUGAGAGGAGGUGCAUGGCCGUCGCCAGUUCGUGCCGUGAGGUGUCCUGUUAAGUCAGGCAACGAUCGAGACCCGCGUCCUCCGUUGCUACCAACCUUGAGUUGGGCACACUGGGGAGACUGCCGCCGAUAAGGCGGAGGAAGGAGCGGGCCACGGCAGGUCAGUAUGCCCCGAAUCUCCCGGGCUACACGCGAGCUGCAAUGGCAGGUACAAUGGGAUCCGACCUCGAAAGGGGAAGGCAAUCUCUAAAACCUGCCGUAGUUGGGAUCGAGGGUUGAAACCCACCUUCGUGAACAUGGAAUCCCUAGUAAUCGCGCGUCACUAUCGCGCGGUGAAUACGUCCCUGCUCCUUGCACACACCGCCCGUCGUUCCACCCGAGCGACUUUUGGGUGAGGCGUAGUCUUCUUUGGCUGCGUCGAAUCCAAGUUUCGUGAGGGGGGAAAAGUCGUAACAAGGUGGCCGUAGGGGAACCUGCGGCCGGAUCACCUCCU
rnacentral:rRNA from 1 species